rnacentral:rRNA from 1 species
GUGGGGAAUAUUGGACAAUGGGCGCAAGCCUGAUCCAGCCAUGCCGCGUGAGUGAUGAAGGCCCUAGGGUUGUAAAGCUCUUUCAGUGGGGACGAUAAUGACGGUACCCACAGAAGAAGCCCCGGCUAACUUCGUGCCAGCAGCCGCGGUAAUACGAAGGGGGCUAGCGUUGUUCGGAUUUACUGGGCGUAAAGCGCACGUAGGCGGAUCGUUAAGUCGGGGGUGAAAUCCUGGAGCUCAACUCCAGAACUGCCUUCGAUACUGGCGAUCUUGAGUCCGGAAGAGGUGAGUGGAACUCCUAGUGUAGAGGUGGAAUUCGUAGAUAUUAGGAAGAACACCAGUGGCGAAGGCGGCUCACUGGUCCGGUACUGACGCUGAGGUGCGAAAGCGUGGGGAGCAAACAGGAUUAGAAACCCUUGUAGUCC